AGCGUAGGAUGAAGCCGGGUGGAGGAGCGGGCGGGGCUUGCGUAAGAAGGGCGCGCGGCCCGACUUCCACUCUGCAACCAGGACCCUGGAGCUCAGCUCUUGGGCUGGCGCUGGCUCUCAGCUGUUCAACUGAGUUCAUCUACCCUUCCCAGACCAAGAGAGGAUGGUUGACUUCUUUUUCCUGAUUCAGCCUCUCACUUCUCUCACCUGGAGUUAGUUCAGGUGCCAUCCAUUAGAGGGAUAGUGGCCAGUGACAUCCAUUCUGCAUGGCCAUGAAUAUUUAUUGUCAUAUCCCUGCACCAGACAGAGUUGGGAAAGAGGGGUUAUGAGGAGGCUUUUCUUCCACACCAGAUGACUGUUGUCCCUCCUCAGCCCAACUGAAGAAAUGAAGUGGAUUGGUCUUUAGUGUGUCCUGGAGAAUGGAGUACUGGGAUUGACCAUUACUAAAGCGUAACUGAUAGCCCAUUGGAAACAAAGAACAGAGGGAGUACUUUCCAAGGAAUCAGGCGACGGGAGAACGAGUAUGAUGAAGAAAGAAUUAAAAUCCAAGGAGGAACAGAAGAAAAGUAUGUAGAAAAUGUGAUUUCCCCAAGGCUCGUGACAUUGUCUUGUAAGGGAAGAUGGGUCUGACUGCCAGUAGCAGCCUUAAACAAAAUAAUCAAAAAAGUGAGCCCCCGCACAUAAGCUCGAGACUAUCAGAUACCUGUCACGAUAAAUACAUUACCUUCAAUUCUUACAACAGUAUGGCAAAUUAAAGUCCACUUGUACAGAUGAGGAAACACAGAAUAAAUGACUGGUACAAGGUCAGAAUUCUUCAGGGCAGAAUAAGUUGGGCCUUUAUUUCCCUCUGCUGCUUCCCUGGUAAUUGUUUGAAGAGUCCUGUGAAGACUUCUUUUUAAUUCCUCUCACUGUGAGGACCAGCCUCUCACACCUUGCUUUCAAAUACUGGAAAUAUCCUCUGAGGCUCCUCUGUGCCUCCAAAGGUCAAGGAACUGACAUUUUAAUAUCAGGCGCAUAACUUGGGAAGCUAGCAGAAAGGUAAGUAUGGUGAGUCACUUGUCCAGUCUUGACAACUAAUAUGGCUUGUACAAUGUGAGGCAUCCCAAGUGAAAACAACAGAUGUUAGUGUCUGCUUUGGGUAAGAGAUCCUGGCAGGUCCGAGCCUGAACUGGCAUGAGCAUCUUGAAAAAAAAAAAAGCUAUCAGGCUAAGAGGAUCUAAGUCAAGAAAUUAUAUCUACCCUCAGAAUUCAUGUCACGGAUUCUGAAAAUGGAGAGGAUUAAAUGCAUGUCUUUGGAGACAGCUUUCAGAACCACAGAUAUUUUGUGCCAGUCAGUGUUGCAAUCGAGUUUGAAGUGGACUUGAACGAAGAGCAGAGAAGAAUUUUUAAUGAAGGCUUUUAGAGGUUUUACAUUUUAUUUAAUAAUAAACUUUCUUCAAAACAUUGCUAAAGUGGACAUUUAAAACACAUGUAUCCAUCCAAACACAUCUUUCUAAAACAGGACUUUCUAGUCAGGUUCUGAUGAAAUCUAAGCCUUUCUAGAGCAAAGAGUUUGACUCAUUCAGCUUUCUUUCCCUCACAGCACAGACAAAAUCGCUUGCCCAAAAUGAUGCUGUUUAUUGAAUAAACUGCUUUUAGCACAUUAUUUCUUUGCUGAAAAAACUCCUAAGAGACCCCAACCCAUUGUCUAGACUGUUAAAGUCUUGUUUCCCACUAUUCUCCCUCCCCUACUGUUCUGGGACUUACUUCCUUAGGGCAUUCCAGCUGGUGCCUUCCUAUUGUCUUCUCAGACCUAACCACCUUCAAGUCCCGAUUCAAGUUCUACUUUGUCUGUAAAUUCUCCUCCUACUGCUCAGCCCACAAAGCUUUCUGUGUAAUUGUUUCACCCUUAAGGUCCAGUGAUUCUCAUUUAGCCCUUUUCUAAUAGCCAAAUGUUUGUUAAAGCUUAGGAUACAUCAGUGUGUAAGUGCCUUCAGGUUAAGGACCAGGUCUUCUUGGCUCUCCUUCCCCUCCUGUUCCAGCCUUGAGUGAAGAAUAUGUAUGAAUAAGCAUAUGAAUGGCUAGGACUAAGAAUCUGAGGGUGUCCUGAGCACCGGUUUAAGAGAUUCUCAGGGAGUUGGAACAGCCUAGCAAACUCAAAUAUUCAAUUCACUUCCAUAAAAGCAGGCUCAGGUGUAGGCUCAGCUCAUGAAGGGUACUUCAAAUCCUCUCUAAACUGAACAAAUAUGUGAUUUUCUUGUGGAAUUAUUGCUAACUUUCAAUAAUAUAUGACUGCAUACCCACAAAUUCCAUUUUUUGGGUUUGUAAAACUUCUACAUUGAUACCAGCCUUUUUUUUCUAUUUUCUUAAAAUUGGAUUGCUGAUCUUUGUAUUAUAAGUAGGAGUCAAGACUGACCUGUAAAUAUACCUUUUACAAUUUUCCUGGGGAAUGCAUGCAGUUCAUUUUGGAGAAUAAGUUUGUGUUGUUGAGAUGUUUCAAAUCCUCCUUGUGAGCACCUGUGACUCAAAGGUCAUAGCAGGAACAAAGAAGCUUUCUUUACCACUGACUAAAAAUUCUACCUGAUGAGAAAAUGAGCCAGUUUCCCUCUAACCCAGAAGUUUGUGACAUUAAUAUCUGUAAAGAGAGUUAGCCAGACAAAGUGGACUACCAUCCCUACAGGAGGAUAAGGGCUGACAGUUUGGACACACUGGAUCGAUAAGAAAUGCAAAGGAAAACCAGAAAGAGAGAGUAAGGGAGAAAAGGAAAAAGCAAUAAAAGACAAAAUUAAUAUGCGGUGCAAACUAGAAACUAGCUCUAAGGUAAUACUGAUACAUUUAACUCUACAUGGCAACUUUGCCUCUCUUCAGCUAACAUAGAGUAUGAUUCAGUCUUCACUACAAACCUGCUGUAAAUUUUCUCAAAUUGUUUCAAACACUUGCUCAGUUUCUGAACUGCUGUGUGCCUGGCACUGUUCUACAUGCUGGUAUAUCAGUGAAGGAAACAAAGUCUCCUUCUUCCUGGCAUUUAUAUUUUAGCGAAUGAUCAGAAUCUACAUAUCAGACUAUAUAUAAAUACACAUUAAUUGAGGAACUGCUAAGUGCUGGGGCUUUGUAUGUCACUUCUGACUUAAUUCUUAAAAGAAUCCUAACGGGUAGAAAUACCACUGUCUCCAUUUUACAGACCAAAAACACUAAGGUUAAGAGAGAACUAAGUAAUUUUGCUGGGUCACACACCUACCUAGAUAAGUAGAGCUUGGCUAUGAACCCCCCUUCCCCUAACUGCCAAGCAGGACAGCCAAACAAGCUGAAAAUUCCAGAGUGUAACUCAAGUGCUCAAGAAUAUAUUCCACUUUUUACAUGCUAUAAGUUAGAGUGAACAGUCCAAACAUGGAAAGAUUUGACUCUAUAAAAAUUUUCUUUUAAAUGAUGCAUUUUAUUUUCUGUAGAGCUAUUGGGAUAGCAUUUGUUUUCAUGUUAAACCUUUUAACUGUUAAACUGGGGAUAUUACACUGCCUCUUGCAGUGUCCCCGAACUUCUAUGAAGGACAUUUUGCUUGCCUACAAAGUAUAAUUUAAAAACCUUUCUAAAAAUCUUCAAAUGAAAAGUAUUCUAAUGAUCAGAAAAGACUGCUUAGUGCAGUCCUCUGAGCUCUGUUUGGCUUCCCUUCCGGUUGUUCUCACCCGUCAGCUUUCUGAGCCAUCUGAGCCUUGGUCCAGGGAACCUGCGGGCUGUGGCAAGUGGAGGUAUGGGUGGGAUUAGGGCUCAGCACCAAGCAGGAAGCUGGCAGCUGUGGGCACCAUCAUUUCAGAAGUUUAUAAAGAUAUGUGCUCUUUUUCGGGAUGCUGCUAUUCCUCUACAUGGAUAAUGCUUAGCUGCCUGAGACAUUUUAAUGAGAAUUUUGCAAAGGGGUGGAGGAGGCCAAACCUGGGGACCUUUUUAACUCUUAGCUCCUGGGACCCACUUAUGGUUCCUCAAAGUCCUUUGGGAAAAUGAAAGACAGAGAAAGCCAGACAAUAAGACCUUCUGUGGACCUGUAGCUUACAGAGCAGUGUGCUAUAGCACAAGGAAAACAAGACACAUUGUCUCUGUCCCUGAAGAUUUUACAUUCUAAAGAAGGAAGGAAAAUAGUUUGAAAUACCCAACUCAGUCAACAAGCAAUACAUCUAAUUAGAGCUAUGUAACCACUGGAGAAACCAUAGCAACCUCCUUCCCUGAAAGAGAGUUUCUCUCCAGAAGCCACAUUACAUCAUGGUUGAGAAUAGAGUCUUCGGAAUCAGACAACCUGGGUUUCAAUCCUGACCCUGCAACUUUCUAGUCAUGUGACCUCAACUGAGUCAUCUCACCUCUUGUGCCAUAGUUGCUUUAUGUGUAAGGUGUGAUAAUGGAAAUAUUUCCCUUAUGGUACUGUUGUGAGUAUUAAAUGGGUUAAUACAUAGAAACUAUUUGUACUAGAUGAGAUAACAUAUUGAAAGUGCUUGAAAGAGUAUUUGACUAAUAGGAAGAGCUAUAGUUAAGUCGAGGUAGUAUCACAUUCUAUUUAUUUUUAAGGUGGAUCUUAAGAUUGAGUGAGUUAUUAUUCUACAUUAAUAAUUGCAAGUCUUCAUGGGUACUGAAGACUGAAGGUGAAAAUGGGACAUGGCCUAUCUCACUCAAUUCUCUAAACAAUCUUAGAUACAAUUUUAAACUUUGUUUGAAUAGAAAGAAACCAAGGCUUAGAGAGGUUUAAACAACUUCUCAAGACUGAAACCCAGAUUUGUCUGAUUCUUCUGGAAGCCACACUCUGUUAAGACCCCUUGCCUCCUCACCUCAACCAGCAAAGAAUGUUGGAGAAUAUUUUGGCAUUUGAGAUGGGACUUGGAACUAAAAGAAAAUUGGUAAGUGGGUAGAGGAAGGAAUUGAACAGCUUUCUAAGCCUAUGAUCAAAAGCAGUUACAGUGUUCGGUUGUCCCUGAAGUUCCUUUCAGAAUCUGAACGACACAUUGGAAGCCCACUCAGAUUGUGUUUCUCAUUUAUGAAUUUUCUUCCACUAAUACUUGUGACAAGAGAAGGAAAAAUGGAUUCAAACAGGAGCACUUCUGAGGACAGAGUUAACUGGAAUCAUACUUAGGUUUUGAUCAAAAAAAUAUAAAAGCUGAUGGAACUAUCAGAAAUCUUGUUGAGGUGGGUAGGAGGGUGAAAAGGGGUCUGUGUCUUGGGGACAGACACUGUGGGCUGCACUACAGCAGUAGGUGGCUCUUUAUAAUUGGUGACUGCAUCACCCAUGAUCAGACCAGCCUAGUUUUAAAAGAUGUAGAUUGAGAAAAGAGUUAGUAUGUUCCAAGAGGCCUCAAGAUAAGGCUGAAGUUUCAGCCAGUCCUUUGGGGCAGAUGAAAAAAUAACAGGUUUAUUAAAAUUGCCUCUGUAUUAUGCUAUGAAAACUUCUACACAGAUGCACAGAUGGGCUUCAAUUUGGACAAUACUGUUGCUGCAUAUUAAAGGCCUUUGAUUUUAAUAUUCAAUAAUGAAUAAAACUACUGGUAGGUAUCCUCCUGAGUCAUAAUGUAAUCAAAGGAGAAUGAGUCUGGCUCACUAUUCUAAAGGUAGAGCUUAGCACUAGGAGUUAGCACUACCUACCUUCUCAGGUGCCUUCGUGCUGGCUGACCUACCCUUAUGUUCCUUCCAGUCCCCAUCCCCAAGUAAAACCAUUCUGUGUCCCCAAUUCUUCGCUCUUUCUUCUGCGCACCUUCAUUUCCAUGUGAUUUUGCAGUCCCUUCUUUUCACAUAGUGGAAUCUACUUCUCCCCUCUCUUACUUGACCUGAGUGCCCCUUUGAUCUGUUUUUGCCAGUAGAAUGGAGAAGAAAAUGCACAGAAUGCUAGCUUUGUGCUGAGUCCCUGGACACUUUGGCUUUCUCUGUUGCUCCCCUUCUUGUAUCAUCUCAUGAGGAUCUCUUGUUCUCAGCAGAACUGGCUAGCCUGCAGAAAGAUGAGAGCCCGCAUUGAGCAGAGCCAGGUGAGAUCAGUUAUCCCAUUCAAGGUCCCAGAAAGGGUCUACCCCAAAUCAGCAAAGCCACCCUGCUGACAUUGAAGCUGACAUGAUUGAGUGCCAAUGACUAGCAGAACCACCCAGCCAUCCUGAUGACUCUUGGAGAGGGAGGGAAUGAUAGCUGUUUAAAGCCACUAAGUUUUAAGGUGCUUUGUUACAUGACAGUAUCUAACAUACAACCACCAUGGCUUAUCCCCAGCCCUGAGCUUUGAUGUGUAUGCUGAUAUAGCCCCCACUUGAGUGUGAGCUGGUAUCUUCAGCUCCUCAAAUAGUAUCUACACUCAGAACUUCUAACAUAUUACUAAAUAAAUGAUACCACUGAAUUCGUAUCAGUGAACACCUGGAUUGCUCUCUAAUUUGCAAUCAGAUCUAAGUGUAUUUUUCUUAUUAAUUGACAUCCUCCUUUUUGGACUGUCUCGUUUAUAUUCUUGAUUUGAUGUCCUCUCUGUUUCUGUUUCUCUUUGACUUAGCUAGAAAUGAAUAAUAUGUCUGAAAGAUAAUAAACUUUUAAAAUGCCUUUGGUAGAGAAAUUCAGAAAGUAGAAGGAGGCACACAAAGGUCAAGGCGAAUAAUCCAAAAGUGAAUGAGACUGGAAGGUUUGCCUUGGUCUUAUGAAUUUGAUGAUGAAGUUCUGAGUUACAAAACAAUUAUUAGGUGUAUUAUUGCAUAAUAACCAAUCUUGUAUUUUUAUUUAUGUGGUUUCAAAUAUUUGCUACCUGCCCUACAUUUCAUUCAUUAUAAUAUUUUUUGAUUUUUCUUGAAACUUCAGUCAGAAGCCCAGGCACUAAAGAUAUCUGUAAAGCUUUUUUUUUUUUUUUUUUAAUUUGGUGACUGUGUCCUUCCACUUAGUAAAAUUCAGGACAUAGUUAUAUUUUCUCCCAUCUGCUAAUACUUUGAGAUCUUCAGCCACGGAACUACUUUUUACGAUGGUCAACAGUAUUCAUUCACAAAAUGUGCACAGACAGGGCUUUCAUGGGGCAUGAGGUCUUCAGAAGAGAACAUUCUACAAGUGUGAGGGAUUUAGGACUGAACAGACAAUGCAGUUUUUUUGCACCAUUUCUCUGUGGGGAUAAGAUCCAUCAAAUUCCAAUAUUAGCUUUAGCUGGCAAAGCAGGGAGUGCUUUUGAGUUAUCUGCCCCUUCUCUGCACCUAAAGCAGUAAUGAAAUAUAGGCAUUAUAAAGCUAUUUUACUCUAGUAUGGACACGUUGAGGAGAUUCCUCCCUUGCUGCAGCUGAGGUCUGGCUUCUUGUUUCCCCUUAUCACAGAGACAAGAGAAGUUGCAAAAGAAAAUGGCAAUUCAGAAAGGAAGAAGAAAAAGAAGUAGCCAUGUUCUUUUAAUUAUCAUAUUAGACUGCAGCCAUUUAAUAAGGUUUGGCGCUUGAUUGAGUUCCUCGUUUCCUGAGGUGCAGGAGCAUUUCCCAUCAUGGCCUGGCUAUUGAUGCAAAGAUGCUAUGAAAGCCUUGUUCUUGUCUCAUUCUUUCUCUGCCUCAUUAACUUGUUCACUUUAAUGAUUACAUCUUCAUAAAGUCUAACAUUUCAAUAUCAAAUGUUCCAUUCUUAAAUUAAGCAUUAAAAAAUGGGGAAGGGAUGGUUGAUUACCACACAAUCUGUCUUCAUCUAUUUUAACACUUACAGUGGUUCCAUCUCAUUAUUUGGGGGGUGUGCAGGGGCUUAUGUAUUCCCUGUGUCCUUCCCAUCUAUUAAUACAACUCCACUUUCAUUCAUCCCUGUAUUCAACACACAUUUAUUGAGCUCUUUCAAUGUUCAAGGCCCAGGAGGAAGGUUUUGAGGGAAAGAAAGAAGUUUUAAACCCUCCUUAAACGAGCAUGUAGCUCCUUCCCUGGACGGGAUUAACUCAUGAAGAAAGAUAACACACACUAACAUAAAGGAGAAAAGACUUGAAAAAAGGCCUGGAAGACUAGGAGUAGACACAGGAAAGGAAAAGUAUAUUAGGGAGAUUCACCAGAACUUGUCUUCAGUAAAACUUGUUAAGAUCUCUGUUUAUGCACUUUUCUCGAGAGUCAUAUUUGCAACUUAAAAUAUCAGUAAAAUUAAAGUAUACUGCUAAUUCUUCAAAAGGAGAGGAAAAAAAAUGAUUAGAUGUUUUCAGGAAGACACAUUACAUUGGUAUCUCAUUUCAGUAUAAAUUAGACCCAUGGUAAGAAUAGAAGACAUUCAGGUAUGAUUUUCUUAUUCUCCCCAAGGAAUAAAAAUAUGUCCUGUGUGUGUAGGUGUUAUUAGUUAGCUUUCUCUUAUACCCAACUCCAAAUGCAGUCUGUCAAUAUUAACGUUUUUAUAUCGUCCAAGUUAACAGAUGUUGAAUAUUUGAUCAAUUAAAUAUGCUAAUUUGUGUAUUGGGAACAUGAGAACAAACAUGGAAACAAGUAACCCCCAUCCUGUACAACUGAUCUUUUUCAUCUAAAUCCAGAUCUUUACAAUAUCCAUAAAAAUUUGAUCCUCAUAAUUCCAAUAUAUUUGGAUUAUUUUUAAAAUUUCAAUUCUGUAUCAACUAUUCACUCUCCCUAUAAGGCUUUUCAUUCAGCAUUUAUUAAAUUAUUUAAUAAGUAUUUAUUAAGUGCUUACUAUGUGCUAGAUGCUAUUUUAGGUGCUCAGGAUAUAGCAAUCAACAAGAGACAAAGUUUCCUACCUUUGUAGAACUUAAAUUAUAGGAGGAAAGACAUAUAAUAAAAAGAGGGACAGAGAAGUAGAUGGUAGAUGAACGGUGGAGACAAAUAAGGUAGAAUAAAAGGAUUGGGGAAGGUUGAGGCCUCUGGGUCCUGGCACCAGACUUGGGUUUGGAGAGGAAUGGUGGUGAGGUCAGUGGCUAUAGCAGAGGAAAAGGAGGAGGUAGGAAAAAAUACAAAGAUAUGAAGAGGAGCUGUGCCCUGUAAGCCUUGUGGACCACAAAAAGGCUUUGGCUUUUACUCUCAUCAGAUGAGAAGCCAUUGGAGAGCUUGGGUACAUUUGUGACAUACCUAACACACACUAUAAUAGGUUUUGCAUUUCAAAAAGUUGUUGUGUUGAGAAUAGACUGAAGAGGUGCAAAAGUAGAAAUAAGCUGAUAUGUUGACUUUUGGAACAGUUCUGGUAAAAGAUGCUAUUGGUUUGGACCAGGUGGUAGCAGUGGAAGUGGUGAAAAAAAGUGGUGAGAUGCAGAAUAUAUUUUGAAGUUUGAUCAUGUAACUUGCUGACUGACUGGAUAUGAAGUAUAAGAGAAACAGAAUUCUAAGUUGACUCCAAGGUUUGGGGCCUGAGCAAGCAGAAAGGUGGAGUUGCUGUUUACUGAGCUGGGGAAGGUGCAGAGAGCAGCCUUGAGGUAGGAACCAGGGGUUGUACAAUGGAUGUGUUAUACGUGAGAUGUUUCACAGACAUACAAGUGGAGACAUUAAGUAGAUGGCUGAAUAAUUGAGUCUGGAGUUUAGGGGGCGACAUUCUGGCUGAAAAAAUUAAAUCUGAGGAUCAUCAGCAUAUAGAUGGCUUUUAAAUCCAUUGAAGCACGUAGGGAACUAGUGCAGAAGACAGAUGAUAUUGCAGGACAAAGCUCUGGAGAAUGCAAGUUGUGACAGACCCCAGAGGUAGAGAAGAGACUAAAAAUAUGUAGGCAGGAGUUCCCGUCAUGGCACAGUGGUUAAUGAAUCUGACUAGGAACCAUGAGGUUGCGGGUUCAAUCCCUGGCCUUGCUCAGUGGGUUAAGGAUCCAGUGGUGCCGUGAGCUGUGGUGUAGGUCGCCGAUGUGGCUUGGAUCCUGUGUUGCUGUGGCUCUGGCAUAGGCCGGUGGCUACAGCUCUG